UUACAUUGUAUAUGAUUACCUCGUUUGUUUUCCCUUUCCUUGUAGAUUGCCAACUUGCAAAACAGAUCAAGAAGAUCGUCUGAGGCUCGCACUAUCCCGAUAUUGACUCAUUAGUCUUUCUAGCAUUUAAAUCUGGAUUUUAUGUUAUGUACAUAGGUGUUAUUAUAUGUGUUUACGUUUGUUGCAUAGUUUGGUUUUCAUUUGGAUAAUGUUUGAAUUAUGGUAUAUGUUGAUGUGGAAUGGUUUAAAAGUAUGAAAGUGUAGAUUAAGUUU
rnacentral:lncRNA from 1 species